GUGGGGAAUAUUGGACAAUGGGGGGAACCCUGAUCCAGCCAUGCCGCGUGUGUGAAGAAGGCCUUUUGGUUGUAAAGCACUUUAAGUUGGGAGGAAGGGCAGUAAGUUAAUACCUUGCUGUUUUGACGUUACCGACAGAAUAAGCACCGGCUAACUUCGUGCCAGCAGCCGCGGUAAUACGAAGGGUGCAAGCGUUAAUCGGAAUUACUGGGCGUAAAGCGCGCGUAGGUGGUUUUGUAAGUUGGAGGUGAAAUCCCCGGGCUCAACCUGGGAACUGCCUCCAAAACUGCAUGACUAGAGUACGGUAGAGGGUAGUGGAAUUUCCUGUGUAGCGGUGAAAUGCGUAGAUAUAGGAAGGAACACCAGUGGCGAAGGCGACUACCUGGACUGAUACUGACACUGAGGUGCGAAAGCGUGGGGAGCAAACAGGAUUAGAAACCCGAGUAGUCC
rnacentral:rRNA from 1 species